rnacentral:rRNA from 1 species
CCUACGGGAGGCAGCAGUGGGGAAUAUUGGGCAAUGGAGGAAACUCUGACCCAGCGACGCCGCGUGCGGGAUGAAGGCCUUCGGGUUGUAAACCGCUUUCAGCAGGGAAGAAGCGAAAGUGACGGUACCUGCAGAAGAAGCACCGGCUAACUAUGUGCCAGCAGCCGCGGUAAUACAUAGGGUGCAAGCGUUGUCCGGAAUUAUUGGGCGUAAAGAGCUCGUAGGUGGUUCGUCACGUCGGAUGUGAAAAUCUGGGGCUUAACCCCAGACCUGCAUUCGAUACGGGCGAGCUUGAGUAUGGUAGGGGAGUCUGGAAUUCCUGGUGUAGCGGUGGAAUGCGCAGAUAUCAGGAGGAACGCCAAUGGCGAAGGCAGGACUCUGGGCCAUUACUGACACUGAGGAGCGAAAGCGUGGGGAGCGAACAGGAUUAGAUACCCUGGUAGUCCACGCCGUAAACGGUGGGCACUAGUUGUGGGGACCUUCCACGGUCUCUGCGACGCAGCUAACGCAUUAAGUGCCCCGCCUGGGGAGUACGAUCGCAAGAAUUAAAACUUAAAUUGAAAUUGACGG